GGCCCGUAAGCUCAGUGGUAGAGCAUCCACUUUGCAUGCAGAAGAUCCCAGAUUAAAUCCCUGGCUGCAUCU